AAACAAGUAAAGCAUAGGAGUGGACCACCACAAGGAGCCUUUGGGAAAUGUCCUUACUCUGUUCUCAUUCCAGUAAAGCAGCACUUUUCUAGCCUGGCUUACCGGUGUCUUCUAAGCUAGGACUAGGUGAGGAGAAGGAGUGAAGCGAAAGUAGUCACUUUAGAAAUCAGCAGCCCAAGAGCAAACCAGACAGGUGUUACUCUCGCCAGCACCAUCUGCCCUGUGCUGAGAGCAAAGAUUCAGCCCUUCCUAUUUUUCAACUCAGAUUCUCUUUUGAUGAAAAGAAGAACCUAAUGACUUUGAUUCUUCCAACCCCACCCCUGCACAUCCUAACUGCUCUACAUGAAGGACUUUCAGAUCAGAAAAUGGGAACUAAAAAUUCUUGAUGAAAAAUCUGCCUUUCAUGCCUCUUUCCAGAAAACAAGCAUUCCUCACAAAACAUGAACAUUUUCCAAAUGGUUUCUGGGACACUGGCAGCAAUCAUAAAUGUGCCAGAGCCUGACUUGAGGCAUUUCUUGUAGAGGACCAAAAGAUAUCUCGUAUGUCAUCAAAAGUAAGUUCUUAUGAUUCAAAUGUCUCUCAGAGAGAGUGAAAGACGAUGAACGCACACAACGGAUCAUUUGGGGCUUUGUUGUUCUUGUUGUUGUUGCUUUGUUUUGUUUUUCCAAGACAUGGUUUCUCUGUGUAGCCCUGGCUGUCCUGGAGCUACUCUGUAACCCAGGCUGGCCUGCCUCUGCCUCCAGAGUGCUGGGAUCAAAGGCAUGCUCCACCAGCCAGCUCACAGAAUGGACUUUUAUCCUAGAGUUUUGUUGUUUGUUUUUUAUUUUUGGUUUGUUUGUGUUUUUUUUGUUGUUUUUUGUUUUGUUUUGUUUUGUUUUGUCAAUAGCUCAUCUGCUGGGCAAUUUGUAUCUAAAACAUAGCAAUUAAAAUAAUGACAGUGCUGCAGUGCGUUCCACACACAUAAAUACACCCAUGCAGUGCUGCAUUGCACCCGCACUCCAUGCACAUAAAUACACCCAGAGACACAGAGGUUAAACAGAGACUGUAUCCACUCGGCAGCGGUAUUUAAAAAAAAAAAAAAAAAAGUCUCGCAAAAGAAUUCCAUCUGUUGGUAAGAAUAUAAAACCUUACCCCCACUGUGGUAAACAAUAUAGAAGUUGAUCAAGACCCAGACAGUGGCAGUGGCAGUGGCAGUGGCAGUGACAGUGGCAGUGCACACCUCUAAUCCCAGCACUAGGAGGCAGAGACAAACAUGUCUCUGAGUUUGAGGCCAAUCUGGUCUACAGAGCAAGUUCCAGGAUAGCCAGGCCACAGAGAAAACAAACAAUUGUAAUCUACCCAUACAGUUCCUAACUCAUCCCUGAACCUCCAGCAUGUGAGAUGGUUCAUGGGUAAAGACUAGCUGCUGCAAAGCAUGGUGUCUUCCCUAGAUGCAUACAUGUGAAAGUGGACAGCCAACUCCUGCAACUUAUCCUGUGACCUCCACAUGUGUCAUAGUAAGUAUUCGCAUGCAUGAGGAUCACACACACACACACACACACACACACACACACACACACACACACACAGACAAGUGAAAAACACCAGAUACUACAAGUUACUGUUUUGCUCUGUAUAUAAACUGUCAAAGGCUUAUGUGCUACAUGCUUGGUCCUGGUGCAUCAGAGCUCCCAGAGGACUCUGUAGUUCACGACUGAAUGGGGAAAGAUAGUUGGUGAGAGGAGUUGUGAGGUGGAUAGUGCCCUGGAUACCUUGGUGGAUACCUUGUCUCUGUCCCACUCCCUAGAUUCCAUAAGUUGAGCAGCUCUGUUCUCCAGGCCCCUCAGCCAUUCUACUCUGUGUGAGCACAAGCCCCUCCACAAUGGACCAUGAGGUCAUGAAAAAAAAAAUCCUUCCUCUGUUCAAAUUGUCCUUCUGAGGCAUUAUUAUUAUAUGACUCCAUGUAUUCAUAUGUGAAUUAGCCAGAACAAGCAAAUCCAUGGACACAGAAGGCAAACUUGUGGUUUUCAAGGGCCUCAAGAAGGGAAAACAAGGAUCACAGCUUAAUAUGAAAGAGAUCUACUGAGCUGGAGAGAUGGCUCAGCAGUUAAGAGCACCGACUGCUCUUCCAGAGGUCCUGAGUUCAAAUCCCAGCAAUCACAUGGUGGCUCACAACCAUCUGUAAUAAGAUCUGAUGCCCUUUUCUGGUGUGUCUGAGGACAGCUACAGUGUACUUAUAUAUAAUAAAUAAAUAAAUCUUUAAAAAAAAAGGAGGGUUGGGGAUUUAGCUCAGCGGUAGAGCACUUGCCUAGCAAGCGCAAGGCCCUAGGUUCAAUCCCCAGCUCCGAAAAAAAAAAAAAAAGAAAAGAAAAAAAAAGGAAAGAAAGAGAUCUACUUCAGAGAUGCUGAAAAUACUGUGAUAGUUGUGCAAGACUGGGAUGAUACUAAAAGCAAAAUGUCAAACCCUACCUUCUACACGGCUAAAUCUGAACUUCACCCCAUAAAGAUAUUUUUUUAAAAAGCCAACAUUUAAAUUUGGGAAAUUUCACACGCAUGCGCACAUGCAUGCGCGAGUGCGCGCGAGCACACACACACACACACACACACACACACACACACACACACACACAAUCAAGAUUGCCUUCUGUUGAAGAAGUUCUACAGAAUCUUCACAAUAGCCAAGAGGUAGCAGGAAGCCCCGUCCUGGAGCUCACCUCUGCCACUGCCUGGCCUGGAGCAGGAGGGGAAUAUAACAUCUACAGCAGUGGUUCUCAACCUUCCUGUUUCAACCCAGUUCUUCAAGUUGAGGUGACCCCUAGCCAUGAUUUGUGUUGCUACUUCAUAACUGCAAUUUUGUUAGUGUUACGAAUGGUAAUAUCAACAUCUGUGUUUUCCCAUGGUCUUAUGCAACCCCUGUGAACAGAGAGGUCUUGACCCACAAGGUAAGAACUGCUGGUCCACAGUGUCUGACUGUAGUGAGAAGCCAAUGCAUUAAAAGGCUUACAAGAGGGGGCUGGAGAGAUGGCUCAGUGGUUAAGAGCACUGGCUGCUCUUCCAGAGGUCCUGAGUUCAAUUCCCAGCAACCACAUGGUGGCUCACAACCAUCUGUAGUGGGAUCCGAUGCCCUCUUCUGGUGUGUCUGAAGACAGCGACAGUGUACUUAUAUAAAUAAAAUAAACCUUUAAAAAAAAAAAAAAAAGGGCUUACAACAGGAGCUGGGAGGAAGGGAGGAAGGCUUAGAGAAUAUGAGGUUUCUGCUCUCCCAUUGGUGCUACUUGGUGGUUCACAACCAUCAGGAACUCCAAUUCCAAAGGAUCUGGCACCCUUUCCUGGCCUCUACAGGUAAUGUAUGCAUGAGGUAAAACAUUCAAACACAAAAAAGUAGAAAAAAAUUUUAAAAUGUUAAAAGCUUAGUUUUCAAAGUCCUUUUCAGUUGCUUUUACAGAUAGAGUACAGCACAGCACGUAACUUUGCAGUCUGCCAGCAAGAAAUGAAAGACAAUUAGGGGGGUUGGGGAUUUAGCUCAGCAGUAGAGCGCUUGCCUAGGGAGCGCAAGGCCCUGGGUUCGGUCCCCAGCUGGGGGGUGGGGGGGAGAAAAAAGAAAAAAGAAAGAAAAAAAAAAGAAAGACAAUUAGACAAAAACUUCAAAGCAGCGAGCCAAAUGCACACACUGGUUAAAGCACUGGACACACCUAUGCUCGGAGGGGCAGCCUAGCUGAGUCUAGCUAGCACAAGGGAGGGGAGAGGCAGCAGACUUAACUCUCAUACUUAGGGGGGCACUAUGCACGGAGAACAGUCCAGGAACAACCCUAGACUUAUGGAAACAGAAGGUGACAAGCUCUAACUCCUUACACUUAAAGGGACUUCAUGUGCUAUUUAUAUUUUAAGCAAUACUUUUAUAAUCAGACCCUUCCAAGAGCUAUUUUAUAAAAGGCAAAUCUAACUGUGAGGUUUUGGGGGAUGGUCACAAAACUCCACCCAGGGAACAGCCACAGCAUGGUUUCCUGAAAUCAAAAGCCCUUUCUUCUGCUCCCAGACAUGGAUUUUCCUUGUACCCUUCCUAGAGACCAUUUCUCCCUCAGCUCCCUUCUCCCUUGUGCCACAAGAUGUCCCAGCUGCUGACCUGGCUGAGUGCCCUGGCCUGGCAGUGUCCGUCACUCCGCAGCCCAGCCUUUCUCACCCCGUCACCUGUGCCCCUUAUAACCUCCGUUCUAGUGAGCCAACCACUACGCCCAGUCACUGAAGGCUUUGGAAAUACCAUUAUCUUCCUUUAUACAUUUUUAUUGUUUAUUGUGUCUCUGUAUGUAUCCACGUGUGUACAAGUCUGUAUGCCUUGAAGGUGACAGCUGAUGUUGGAUGUCUUCCUCUCUCAGCAUCCCCCUGGGGUUUUUAGAGUCAGCAUUUGUCCCUGAACCUGAAGCUCACCAUUUCAGCUGAGACUUCCUAGCCAGCAAACCCCUAGAAUGUGCCGUCUCUGCACCCCAGCACUGGACUGCUGUUGAAACCCGGAGAGCACACAGCUUCACCUGACCUGCAUGUUUGCUGGGUCCUAACAGAGGACCUUGCUCUCAGCUGACCGAAUCAGCUUGUAUUUAUUAUUUAUUUACUUACCUAUUUUAGAUUAUAGUAAAAUUCACAUCAAAUAAAAUUCACCACUUUAAAAUGCACAACUAAAGGCAUCUUGUUACAUUCACAGUAUGGUAUAACAAACAUUACAAUGUUCCAAAUAUUUUAUCACCCACAAGGAAACUUCAAACCAUAAAGACAUUUUUCCAAGCUCCCUUUGUCCCCUAAAAAAAAAAAAAAUCCUACCUCCACAGAUGUGUCUAUGUGAGAUAUCACGUGUGAAUGGUGCCAUACAAUAAAUAGCCUCUGAUGUCUGGCUUUCUUCAUCUAGCAUAAAUUUUCAAGAUAUCUAGGUUGGAGUAACUGUCAGUAUUUUGUUCCUCUUAGGGCUAAAUGAUGCAGUAUUUCCUUCUGGUCCACAGUUUCACUUUCUAUGGACUUAAUUACUAACAGUCAACUUCUGUCUGAAAAUAGAUGGAAAAUUCUAGAAAUAAUCCAUUUCUAAGUUUUAAAUUGAGUACUGUUCUGAGUGAUGUGAUGACAUCUGUAAUCAUUUCUCAACAGCAUGUCCAGGGUGAGAAUCACCCCUUCAUCCAACUGAUCCGCACUGUACAUGCUACUUGCCUGCUAGUUCUGUGACUGUGGUAGUAAGCUACUGUGGGACCCUAAUAGUUUUAUUUUCUAACAUGACCCAUUAAUGUUUUACAAACCAUGGAAGGACGCCUCACUGUCUGGAUUUCAUCCCUUAUCAUUUUAAGGUCUAGCACACUGUCAUCUUUUUAAGGUCUAGCACACUGUCAUCUUUUGCUAAGCUAAUACAAUUGUCACUGUAUAAUUAGGCUCAACGUUUUUACCUUGCCGUCUGUAGGCUAUCGUACUAUAUUCUAUCAUAGCUACAAUGGUUCUAUUAACAGAGAGCUGACUUCUAUUCUGUAUUUCUCUUGGGCUAAAGCCCGUUCUAUGGUCUCUAAAGUCAUAGGCUCAAUUCUGUUCUGUGCCUAGCUCCAUGCACUUUCUGUGUUUCCAACACAGCCCAGGCCUACUCCUGCCUUCACGAGCUCCAUCAGCUAUAUUACCCCCACCACAGAAUCCAACAGCUUACUCUCUCAGCAUUAAAUGGCCAAAGGUCACCUUCUCAAGAGUCUGACCCUGCUCACUGCCAUUUAACAUCAUCUAACACAAGAAACACUAUUUUGACAGUGUUUGCUGGCUUCUGUUAUUUCCCUUCCACUGAAAGGUAGGUGCAGUGUGGCCAUUAUAGAAACAAAGUAGAGGCUUUGAAAACAAAAUUAGCAUAUUCCUUAGCAAGACUAAAACUCAGCAGGAAAACCAUCAAACCUUGCCUGGACUCCCGGUCCAGCAAGAGCUGGGGGCCCUCUGCCCCUCCCCUGCAUCUUUGUUUCCUGUAACAGGGACCCUCUCUCUGUCUUACAUCAGCUCCAGUCCCUGUCUGAAGCUUUCCUUAGUGGACAUCUGAUGGCUCUGACAUCUUCAACAUCCUGGCGUCUCCACGGAAAUUUGGUCUUCACCUUCUGAGUUGCAAGGCACACUCUGGGGUCUUCUUGCAGUUUCUUAAAGCCAACUGAAUCACAUGUUGCCUCACCUCAGCAACUCCUUAAAACUGUGGUAUAGGACUCCAUGACCCUCUCAAAGCUUAUGCCUUUCAUGCUUGCAAGACCAGCACCACAUGGAAGUCACUGCCACAUUCUGCUGCAGCUUAGGCUGGAGCUGGCCACACUGAAGCAGCUGCACCAGCCUUCCUGGGCUAAGCCCGGAAGGCAACUCCCAUGGAGGGUUGCUUGGAACAGAGACUCUCACCACAUUCUCAGUCUAGGCUGUCUCCUUCAAAUGGAUCUGCAUUUUCAUGACAGGGAGCCUCCAAUAAGCUGUCCUGCCGUCCUGGCGCUUUCCUGUCCCUCUAGUGAAGGUACCAGGUUUCUCUUUAAUAAUUACAACUCUUUCC